rnacentral:lncRNA from 1 species
GCCUCGGUCCGGCCUUGCCUUACUGGUACCAGUACCUGCCUGCUGCUACCAACUAGUCAACAUGUGGCAUCUUCCAGGCCACUGUGAUGAGUCAGGGAUGAGCAUCUGACUCUGGUUGGUCCAAUCAGCUUGUCCAGGGACUUUGGCUGGGAAGAUUGGAAAGGAGGCCAGCUUUUUGGGCUGGGGUUGCUGAGAGAUGUGAUGAUGAAAUGUGUGGCCUACCUGGCAUCUGGCCCCAGCUUCAGCUCCAUUUACUGUCUUGCUCCCCACCCUCACUAGCCUGCAUUGAGGCCUCCUCUGUGCCCCCCAACCCCUGAGUUUCUCAUCCCCAGAGAGCCCAGCUACACAGAAUUGAAGGGUUUUCUCAUUCAUCUUCCUGCGCUCACCCUGAAGACUGGGCCUAUGUCAUCUGCUAACCACUGUCCCCCCAGCACUCACAGUGGAAAAUGGAGUGUUAUGCAGCCCUGCAGCUUGCCUUCUAGAACAGUUCACAGGCAAGGCCUCCCACACUGAACCCUGCUACAGCCAGAUGGUGCCAGCAACACAGAGCUACUUGUUACAUCAGCUCAGACUAAGCCACACCCACAGGAGCAUCUGGUGAUUCCACAGAACCACAAGAGACUUGACCUCCUGGAAAUGAAUUAACCAAGAUUAAUGAAAAAGAUUAAGGUCAUGUGCCCUGUAAAAAUGUCCCUCACUGGAUGAACUGUGACAAAGUAGGGUACUGCGUGGUCUCCCCAGCUGACCCUCUCCAUGGGUCAUUCUUUGCUUUUAUCACUACCUGGCACAAAUCUUUACGUAUUUGUUUAUCGUCUUCCCUCCACCAGUAGUUAGGUGUUUGCCCUUGCUGUAUCCCCUGUGCCUAGAACAGUGCCCAACAUUGGCAGGUGGCCAAUAAUUGCAAAAUAAGCAAAUGUAUGAAUGAACCAUUAGAUGCUUUGUGUUGUAUACUUACUACCUGCUGGGCACAUUUAUUUAAUCCUCAUGACAGCCCCUGAAGUAGGUGUUACUUUUUCCAUCUUACAGAUAAAGACUCUGAGGUUUGGAGAGGUGAAGUGAUUUGAUCAAUGUCACAUGGUAGUGAGUGAGGCCAAGAAUCAUAGUUUCAUUUUAUUCGAGAAGUUGGGGGCCAGGUACAGUGGCUCAUGCCUGUAAUCCUAACACUUUGGGAGGCCAGGGUGGGAAGAUCUCUUGAGCCUAGGAGUUUGAGACCAGCCUGGACAACAACAUGGUGAGACUCCAUCUCUACAAAAAAAAAAAAAAAAUUAUUUUAAAAUUAGCCAGGCAUGGUGAUGUACACCUGUAGUUCCAGCUACUUGGCUGAGACAGGAGGACUGCUUGAGGCCAGGAAUUCAAGACCAGCCUGGUAAAGAUGGCAAGACCCCAUCUCUACAUAUAUAUAUCUAUAGAUAGAUAGAUAGAUUAAUAGAUAGAUAUGUAUUAGCCAGGCACAGUCACACAUGUUUGUAGUCCCAGCUACUUGGGAGGCUAAGGCAGGAGGAUCACCUGAGCCCAGGAGUUAAGGGCUGCAGUGAGCCGUGAUCACACCACUGCAUUCCAGUUUGGGUGACAGAGUGAGGCUCUCUUAAAAAAUUUAAAAAUACUGAAGAAACAAAGGGAGGAGUUUGUAGAAUCUGGAGUGGAGGAAACUUCUGUGUCACCAAACACAGAAACCAUCAAAGAAAAUCUUUCACUUCCAAAAUUAGUCUAUAGAAAAAAAAAAAGAAAAUCUUAACCCAAAUAAGAGACUGAGGCAAGAGCUUCAAUCAAUCGAGGUUUACUGAGCCAGAGUUGGAGCGUGCCCAGGAAAGCAACACAAGUCAAAGAAACGUCUGUGGCCUGUGCUCUCCCAAGAAGUUUUCAGGAGGCUCAAUAUUUGUACAUUUCUUUAAAGGGGAGAAGACAGUGAGGCAAAUGGUUAUGUUUUUGUGAGACUCUUAAUUAGUGUCCCGUAAAUCUAAGCUAUAUGGAAGAUAGGGUGAACACUGGAAGAACAGGGAGUAACAGAAGAGCCAAUUAUGCAGAGGUCUCAGGUUAGGUGGAGGAAUGAUUGAUCUCAUCUUAUCCUUGUUCUGCACCUGGGCAGAUAAACUUGUAAUUGACAUUGUCAGUGUGAAAUUUAACAGACUUUGGUUUUAGGAGUUAGGUUUAGGUUGCAGACCUAAAGUUGCAGUUGACAUGUCCUUGUUUUAUAGGAGGAUAUACAUCCUGAAAGUUUUAGGGACUGGCAAAGAAUUUACUGCUGAGCAAUUUGUGAUUGCAGUCACCUGGAGAUUCAUGAGGCUUUUUGCCUUUUUGUGGGGAUCUGGUUAAUGCAUAAUAUUUUGACACAAGGUUGCAAGGUAACAGGUAUCCAUUUGGGAAAAGAAUGACAGUUUUGGAGAACAUUAGUUCUGCAGCAUAGAAUGAAGUGUUGCCGGAAUAAAAUUAAAAAAAAAAAAAAAAGGCUGGGUGUGGUGGCUCAUGCCUGUAAUCCUAGCACGCCUGUAAUCCCAGCACGCCUGUAAUCCUAGCACGCCUGUAAUCCCAGCACGCCUGUAAUCCCAGCACUUUGGGAGGCCGAGGCGGGUGGAUCACCUGAGGUCUGGAGUUCGAGACCAGCCUGAUCAAUAUGGCGAAACCCCAUCUCUACUAAAAAUACAAAAAUUAGCUGGGCAUGGUGGCGGGUGCCUGUAAUCCCAGCUACUGGGGAGGCUGAGGCAGGAGAAUUGCUUGAACUCGGGAGGCGGAGGUUGCAGUGAGCCGGGAUUGUGCCAGUGCACUCUAGCCUGGGUGACAGAGCAAGACUCCAUCUCAAAAAAAAAAAAAAAAAAAAAAAAAAAAAAAGGAAUGCCAGUGUUGUGUGGCUCAGUCUCCAAGCUUAACUCUCCCUUUAGCAUAACAAAUUUGGGGGUCCUGAAAUUUUUAUUUUCCUUUAUGAAAAGAUCAAUAAUCCAUUUGCAUAAAAAAUAAAGUCUAUAUGGAAAAAGCCACCAUCACAGCCAAAACACAAAUAACAAACUGUAACUUGUUACAAACAGCAUACUUGUAACUCAUUUCAAAAUAAAGAGCUGAUUUCUCUAAUAUAUAAAGAGCUCUCAUAAGUCAAUAAGAAAAAGACCAAUGGUAGCCAGGCGUGGUGGCACAUGCCUGUAAUCUCAGCUACUCAGGAGGCUGAGGCAGGAGAAUCACUUAAGCCCAGGAGGCAGAGGUCAUGGGGAGCCGAGAUCACACCAUUGCACUCCAGCCUGGGCAACAAGAGCGAAACUCUGUAUCAAAAAAAAAAAAAAGAAAAAGAAAAAGACAAAUGGCCCAGUAGAAAGUGUGGCAAAGGAUACAAACAGACCAUUCACAGAAAAAGAUAGAUAAAUAACAUCUCUCAGGAAAGUACCUCCCAGUCACCCUUUGUUGGAAAGUUGUUGAAGGAUGCACUUCAGCAAAAUGAGGGAGUAAACCAAGAGACAUAGGCUUAAGAUCCAGGCAAGAGUGAGGCGCUUAGGAGCCCAGGAAGCCAGAAGAGCCUGGUAGCACUGAAGGAACACUCAGGCCACCUUGGAACAGAGAGGAUGGGAUUGCCAUGUGGUUCCACAUGGCUCUGAAAAUAGACAAUGGCUAAGCUGUGCAACAGACUGCCUAUGACAUUUGGUUGCCCAGAGCUUCUGUGAAAAUACUUCAGGACAAGGCUUUCCCCCACCCAGGGGUGGGUUGGGGAAUAGAGUGUAUGCACUUUGUUUUGUCCAAUUUUAGACUUUAAAAUCCUCUGAGGCAUCAACUGGUGAGGGUGAGGAAGUGGCCCCAUAGACUGAAUUGGGCCUGCCCCACCCUGGUACCUUUCUGUUCUGUCACAGUGACAAUUCACAGCUCAGAGGUCCUUUGGGAAACUUUCUCUGACAUCGCCCCUAUCCUCUUGCCAGCUGGAUGAAGCAGCAUCCACCAGAACUGCUACCAUCACUGCAGGGGGCUUGGUGGGCAGAGGCCUGGCUUGUCUCCAUUAGCACUGCGUUCCUGUGCCCAGUGUGGCCCCAGCAGACACUGUGGGUUCAGUCAAUCAGCCCCCAGGCUGGUCUGGGACUGAGUCAUCGGAGGGAGUGGGUGUUGGGCACAGGUCCCUGCCCUAAGAACCUUCCUUCUUGGGCCCGAGGAACUCCCACUGGGGCAGGACUAGCUGCUGGGAGGAAGUAGGGCUUACUGAGCGUCUACCUGGGCUAGGGAGUGGAGGUGAAGGUGGACUCCUCAUACAGCUCAUAUGCAGGCACUGGGCUGUGGAGCCUUAGCCGCUUUUAAUUGGCAAGCCCUGGCUUCCUGGAGGAGGAAAGGGGAAGAGAAGUGCCCUGGGGGCGAGGAUUGAGUCAGCUGCAUUGUCAUAAUGGAAAUAGUACAGCCCUGGGUGUCCAAGACUUCCCCUCCAUGGGCCUCAGAAUCGUCCAUAUGAUGUAACACUCUUUUUUUUGAGACUGAGUCUCGCUCUGUUGCCCUGGCUGGAGUGCAGUGGCUCCAUCUCGG